UGUCCACAGACCUAUCUUUACACUACAGUAUCUUGCCCGUACGAAGGACGGGCCAUGGAUCCUAAUGUUUCAUAAAGUAGGCGUUUUAGGGUGCGCGUUGUAUCAUAGAGGCUAGAAGAAUACGCACCCCAUUUAGGUGGGGGUGCCUAUUGUACCAUUGAUCCCCUUUGAGCUCUGCCUUGUAGAUUUAGCGGUUUUGCGAAGGUGCUAUUCAACAGAAACGUCUGCAGAAGGAGCGGGAAGGAUCAAAUCGCACCGACAGUUGGCAAGAAUAGCAAAAGCUUCGUCGUUCCGCUGUUCUUGGAGUGUUUUCAGUCGGUGAGUAGAGAUUGCAGAGUUGAUGUACGCACUGCUGACCGGCUCUAGCCCUCCUCAGCAACAGAAUUCAAAGGAAUAUAGAGCACAAAACCGGCUUUUCUAAAAGCCACAGAAGACGUCAGAGAGGACAUAACCGGAAAAAACCCAGUUACUGUAGCUUAGAUAUUGUCUUAGAGAGCAUAACUAAAGAAAAAUGCAGUUACUGUAGCUCUA